GAUGAACGCUGGCGGCGUGCCUAAUACAUGCAAGUCGAGCGAACAGACGAGGAGCUUGCUCCUCUGACGUUAGCGGCGGACGGGUGAGUAACACGUGGAUAACCUACCUAUAAGACUGGGAUAACUUCGGGAAACCGGAGCUAAUACCGGAUAAUUUAUUGAACCGCAUGGUUCAAUAGUGAAAGACGGUUUUGCUGUCACUUAUAGAUGGAUCCGCGCCGCAUUAGCUAGUUGGUAAGGUAACGGCUUACCAAGGCAACGAUGCGUAGCCGACCUGAGAGGGUGAUCGGCCACACUGGAACUGAGACACGGUCCAGACUCCUACGGGAGGCAGCAGUAGGGAAUCUUCCGCAAUGGGCGAAAGCCUGACGGAGCAACGCCGCGUGAGUGAUGAAGGUCUUCGGAUCGUAAAACUCUGUUAUUAGGGAAGAACAAAUGUGUAAGUAACUAUGCACGUCUUGACGGUACCUAAUCAGAAAGCCACGGCUAACUACGUG
rnacentral:rRNA from 1 species